UGAAAUAAAAGUUUAUUGGUUUAUAUACUGAUAUAUCUAUAGAAUGCCAAUAUAACAAUACAUAUAUGAAUAUAUAUACACAUAAUAUACAUGCACUUUUAAGACACAUUAUUUGUGUAUCAGAAUUUUACAAGCACAGCUUGUAAUUGACUUCAUCAUUUUAAAACACUUUUAUCUAAUGAAAACUUUUCACUUGAUUAUGAAGACAUAUCCUGACCUUUGCAAGGAGGUAUAUCUGUUUAUCUUAACUGUGGACUCAGGGUCAAUCUUCAAGUUGAAAGACACCUGGGAGACGAUCCAAGUCUAACAUCAUCUGAGUAACUGACCCCUAGACAUGAGCUGUUUCCCUAGGUGAUAGAUCCGAUGCCAUAGUCAUCAUCAAAUCUUAAAUUCUUGAUGCCCUAUCCCUCAUACUUUCCAUUUACACUAUGCUGUCUCUGAAAUAAGAUUUAAAUAGGGUUGAAAUGAGAUCAUGUUUAAAUCUAAAGAACAGCAGAGCUUAUUUUAAAUUUCCAUCCAAUUUUAUUAUGUUUCUUAUGUAGAAUUUCCCCUAUGGCCUAUUAAAUUUGGUUUUAUUUUUUUCACAUAAU
rnacentral:lncRNA from 1 species